CAAGCCAAGUCUCUGGCCAUCUGGUUUGUUCCUAACACUGCAUUGUUAAAUCUUAUUCAAAUUCUGGAUUCAAAGCUAUGGAACAUGUUUUGUGACUGUCGA